CUUGUCACAUGAUAUUAAUUGCAAAGGGUAACACUUUAUCUGAAGGGGUGUGCAUAAGACUGACAUGACACUGUCAUAAAAUCGACAUAACACCUGUUAUG